GGUUGUAGCUCAAUGCUUAGAGCACCCGCCUUGCAAGCAGAAGGUCGCAGGUUCAAAUCCAGUUAAAAAGACCA